CUAAGAUUCUCCGUUAAGCAGGAUAACUGGCCUUCUCCUGAUGGAGAACAAGCCAUCAUGCUAUGUAGCCUUUGACAGGAGAGCACAGCAGCCAUGACAGGGGAGUCCUAGGAUGGCAGAGACUUGGGCCAUAUCUGAAUCAGCUAAUCUGGACAGAGGGAAACAUGAAUGGCCAUGCUCACUGUGCACAUGAGCACCACAGCUCCUGUAAGGGCCACUUCCUGGAUCAAAGCAAAGUGUCAUCAAAGAAGGAAAAUAUACUGUGGGGUGAAGGAAGGAAGAGGUCCAGCCUCCCAUGGCACUUCCUGCUCCAGCCCAAAGGAAAAGAGAGACCCAACCUCCGCUUCACUACAGCAGGGCCACCGCAGCCCAUUCCUGGGAGUGCUCUCGACAUGAAAUACCGCUUCAUCACCAGUGUUACCAGAACAGUCUCCAUGCCAACUCCUGCUCUCACGUCCCUGGGAGUGCCGCUGGAACACUGCAGAAGGCAGGUGUGCUCUGUCCCUAUUGGCCUCAGCCUCCAUCUCUUUUCCAAGACAGGCAAGUGCUCAGUUGGUCUCCUUUGUCCUGUCAGCAUCUUCUUUCCAGCAGGCUUGCACAGCAGGAGCAACCCAGGGAAGAUAGCCUCUCUGGUUCUCGGCUCUUCCCUUCCCUUGUCUUCAGUGCCUGCUCCCUCUGCCUUCUCAGAAGGUAUGUGUGCACCAGGCAUACCUGAGUCGUGGCCAGGCAAAAGGUUCCCUGUGUCUUCCACCUGUGCCCUCUCUGGAGCCAAGAAGAGGCUUCCUGUGGUGUUGCAGACCGGCCUCCUGUGUCCUCACGCUCCCACUCCUAUUUUGGCUUUUGGGCUUGGGUUAUUGGCUGUAUCUAGCACAUCCGUCACUCUGAAGGCAUCCUCUCUACCUGACUCCCUUCCAGAGAUGGGUGCCCUGUCCUCCGCCCUCCACGGUGGUAGCUAGUCCCUGUCCUGAGAGUAGAGCCUUGUCUCCCUACAGGCACCUUUGCCAACUGUCCCUGGAUGUCCCUGUCUGCCCGACAUCCAGGUCCUGACCACAGCUUGAGGUCUCUAUCCCUCCGUUCUUCUGUUUGACGGGACUCUUUUUCUUUAUUCUGGAAUCCCUAGGGCUAAGUAUUUGUCAGAACUACGGGGAAGGUGAUCUUCCCUGGCCAGGUGUAUCUCUGGAACCAGAGGUGUCUUGGAAGCUGGAUGAGUUCCCCUGACUCAGCCCGGGGGGUGGGCCAUCUUGCUCCCUUCCUGUCUGCCCUGUGAUGUGGGGAGUAAUGGGCUGGAACCAUGACAACCACUGGCUUCCAGUGUGGACAUUACAUGUUAGGACACAUCAGUGCAGCCUAAGCCCCAGCUACCUGGUCAUUUGAGAGGUCGUGCUCCUAGCUCUAUGUGCCGCUUCCAAAUUGCUGUACCAAUACACUGGAAUGUUCCCGGGUCAGUCAACAAGGAGCUGAAGAUGUGACCGCCUGGCUAGAGCAUGGGCCAUUUACCACGCCGGUCUAAAUGUGCUUCUUCUCGCUGCAUUAGCACUCAGAUUUGGUAUUCGGGGUGCCCUGAUGCCACUGAAC
ensembl:lincRNA